rnacentral:rRNA from 1 species
UACGGGGGGAGCAAGCGUUGUUCGGAUUUACUGGGCGUAAAGGGCUCGUAGGCGGCCAACUAAGUCAGACGUGAAAUCCUCGCGUUAACCGGGGAACUGCAUCUGAUACUGGAUGGCUUGAGAUUGGGAGAGGGAUGCGGAAUUCCAGGUGUAGCGGUGAAAUGCGUAGAUAUCUGGAGGAACACCGGUGGCGAAGGCGGCAUCCUGGACCAACACUGACGCUGAGGAGCGAAAGCCAGGGGAGCAAACGGG